AUCGCUUCUCAGCCUUUUGGCUAAGAUCAAGUGUAGUAUCUGUUUAUUUGUUCUAAUAAAUCUCAUACAAAAAGUUA
ensembl:snRNA U2 U2 spliceosomal RNA